rnacentral:rRNA from 6 species
AGUCUGAAAAACAAGUUAAUAAACUAAAACUUUCAACAACGGAUCUCUUGGUUCUGGCAUCGAUGAAGAACGCAGCGAAAUGCGAUAAGUAAUGUGAAUUGCAGAAUUCAGUGAAUCAUCGAAUCUUUGAACGCACAUUGCGCCCCUUGGUAUUCCGG